UAACUUUGAGCGGUGGAUCACUCGGCUCGUGCGUCGAUGAAGAGCGGCAGCCAGCUGCGUGAAUUAAUGUGAAUUGCAGAACACAUUGAACAUCGACAUCUUGAACGCACAUGGCGGCCUCGGGUCCGUCCCGAGGCCACGCCCGUCUGAGGGUCGGC
rnacentral:rRNA from 1 species